rnacentral:rRNA from 1 species
UACGUAGGGUGCGAGCGUUGUCCGGAAUUAUUGGGCGUAAAGAGCUCGUAGGCGGUGUGUCACGUCGGCCGUGAAAACCUGCAGCUUAACUGUGGGCGUGCGGUCGAUACGGGCAUCACUGGAGUUCGGCAGGGGAGACUGGAAUUCCUGGUGUAGCGGUGAAAUGCGCAGAUAUCUGGAGGAACACCGGUGGCGAAGGCGGCAUCCUGGACCGGCAUUGACGCUGAGGCGCGAAAGCUAGGGGAGCAAACGGG